rnacentral:rRNA from 1 species
UACGUAGGGUGCGAGCGUUGUCCGGAAUUAUUGGGCGUAAAGAGCUCGUAGGCGGUGUGUCACGUCGGCCGUGAAAACCUGGGGCUUAACUCUGGGCGUGCGGUCGAUACGGGCAUCACUAGAGUUCGGUAGGGGAGACUGGAAUUCCUGGUGUAGCGGUGAAAUGCGUAGAUAUCGGGAGGAACACCAGUGGCGAAGGCGACUACCUGGCCUGUUCUUGACGCUGAGGCGCGAAAGCUAGGGGAGCAAACGGG